CAUUUAUUAUUUUGUGAUUUGGGAUUAAUGGCAGCCUUGUUGGAGUGAGAUGGUAUCUCAUUGUAGUUUUGAUUUACAUUUCUCUAACGGCUAAUGAUUAUGAGCAUUUCCUCAUGUAUCUGUUACCUGCCUGAAUGUCUUCUUCGUUGAAGUGCCUAUUCCUAUCCUUUGCCCAUUUUUAAAAUGGAUUAUUUGUCUUUUUGUUAUUGAGUUUUUGCAAUAUCAUGUAGAUUUUAGAGAUCAGAUGCUGAUCGGAAAUGUUAUAGCUCAAAACUGUUUCCCAGGCUGUAGGCAAUCAGUUUACUCUCCUGGUGAAGACUUUGGAUGAGCAUAAGUGUUUGAUUUUUAGGAGUUACCUAAUUUCUCUUUGGGUACUUGUACAUUGUUAGUAAUGUUUUUUGUUACAAUCCCACCCUAAUCCUCUUUAACAUAAAAUUACAAUCACAAAAUGGAGGACAACUACAGAACACUGGGAAUCAUGGCCUAACCAACUUGGUACACACAUUUUUCGGGGGGGACAUAAUACAAUCCAUGACAUCCACCUUUUAGUAUAUUUUGGGGACUGGCUCUUUUAGUCAGAAACAGGUUGAAUAAAAGUGCUUACUUACCAGCAGUUUCCCGACAGUGUUGGUGACGGAUCCCCAGUUGGAUACACACAAUCACACUGACUGCAUUUGCGGUGCCUCAGCAAGUCCCACUUGCCUUCGUAACACUGAUCUCUAGAACAAAACACAGCUCUGUAAGCAAGUCAGUUAAAAAUAAAGGCAUUGGAUAUUGAACAUCACUAAAGACAUAAGUGCAUAUUGGUUCUGUGUUGGUUGCCAGAAUCUAAUUCUCUUAAUUAAUUCAUAUUUUUUGUAGAUAUUUUUCUUGCUCCAUAUACCCAGAGUUCUGUGUACAUAUAAUGAACAUUCUACACGUAGAUUUCUCACAAAUAUUACCCAAUGUCAUUCAUUUUUUUGACCAUUCACUCAAUGUUCAAGAAUAAAUUGAAGUAUAGGAAAUAUUCUUAUGGUUAUUUAACUCUAAGGAUGAAGAAAUUGCAUAGCGGGUCUUGGCUCCCUUUAGAAAUUCUCUACCUGAUGCAGUUCCACACAGCAACACGGACCUUCAUCUCAGCACAGGAAGAAAGACAGCUUUGUCUCAAUAUCUGCCACUGCUCUUCACCUUCUACUAAGGAAACUCAGGAAUCAAAUAUUUUAUACUGUCCAGCAAUGCUUACACUGUAAGUAUAAAGUGGGAGCCAUUAUAACGUUAAGGGAAAUAUCAUUGAUACAAUGUUGGCUUUUUAAUUAGGCAGAUUUGUCUUUGUAAUCCCACUCUGCCCUUAAUUGGCUGAUGACUUUAAGUAUGCUUCUUUACUUUCCGUAGCCUUGAUUUACUCACCCACAGAAUGGGACGAUGACCUUCAUCUGGAAAGAAUAUACAUAUAUACAUAUAUACAGACGUAUGAAGCUUACUUCUGACAAUACUAACAAAUAUUGCUAUUUUUUUUUUUUUGCCUUCUUUACUCCAAGCUUCUAGACGGUUUACUCAGUUACAUUUCCUUCCUUCCUUUCUUCUUUCUUUCUAUGCUGCCUCUUUUUUUUUCCCUUUCAGUUUUAUUGUGAAUUCAUAAACGCUAGGUUGAAUUUCAGUGUUUAUAUGCUAUUGGGGGUAUGCAUAUAAGUAAGCAAAUUUAGCUUCCUGAAAUUGAAAUGUAGGUAAUUCCUGCACUGUCUGCCUCACAUGACAUGCGAAAGUUAUUUAAAAUAGUAAGAAAAUAUAAAUAUGUUACUUAUUAUCUAUUGAAUCCAUACAUCAGGCUAGAUAAUUUAACUGUCAUGUUGAAGUGAUAAAUUUAUAAAUAUGUUAAUAUUUUGUUAUUAAUGUAAGAAGAGUAAGUUAGACACCUAAUAUGAAGAGCAGGUAAGGAUUUCAAAAGGAUUGGUUCUCAGAAGAGUAGGACUAGAACAGUAAUAAACAAAAGGUAAAAUAUGUUCGUAGCAGGAACAUACAGAAGGUUGCUUCUACAAUGGUGUUUAAAAUAGAAUAAUGUAUAUUUGAUUAGACAAUCAUUUAUGGGAAUAAAAAGAUUAAGAAAAUUUAUCCUUACCUGCAAAAUCUUAGAACCGAAAAACCAAACCAAACCCAGUGCCGUCGAGUCGACUCCACUCCUACUCAUGGCGACCCUAUAGGACAGAGUAGAACUGCCCCAUAGAGUUUCCAAGGAGCGCCUGGAGGAUUCAAACUGCUGACCCUUUGGUUAGCAGCUGUAGCACUUAACCACUAUGCCACCAGGGUUUCCACAAAAUCUUAGAAGCAGCAACAUAUUCAUCAUAUUUCAUCCAGAACAUUCCUGAUGUCCUGCAGUCAUGCAUUUAAAGUCAUUUUUGCAGAAACAUUCAUUUUUAUAGCUACUUACCUUCCUGGUGAUUACAUCAUUGGCUCAUAAAGACGAGAAAAAGAACCAAAUGCAAUUUGGCUGUCUUGACUGGGUCCCAAAGAAGACUAUUAAGUUAAACAAAUGAAUAGAAACAUCUUAAAUAAGCAAUAUCUUCUAUGUGCAACUGCUUGUGUGUGGCACCAGGAAAAUAAACACUAAUCAAGGUAAUUUUAAUUCCCAGUGAAAUGAAACAUCAUAUGGAAACAUGGGGAUUUUACUCUCCCUUGAUAAUUAUAUCAUCUAGAAUCAUCUCAUGUGAGAUUUUUAUCAUAAAGGAAGGGUCCAUGGAAAGGAAAUGCCUGACUGGAGCCCGCUGUGGAUUAUUCUUAAUUGCCUCUCCACUCUCACAUUCCCAAAAGGAAGGAGGAUAUCAGGGCUUAAUAUGACUCAAGUACAGCAUGAAAAAAUGGAAUAUGUUUGCAAAUGUCAACACAACUAUUUGUAAAAUAAUUAGAUAUUUAUUAAAUCAUUUUGUGAGAAAUGAAGUGGCUCUGAUCAGACUUAAAUAAAUGGGUUGACUAAUUUUUUUUUUGUUGUUAAUAUUUGAAUGUACCAUGCAACUAGGUUGAUGGAAGUUGUAUAUAAAAGUUAUCCAAAUCACUCAGUAGGAUCAUUUCAAAGAAUCUGAAAAAAGUUAGGAAAAUAAAUUUGAAAUACUGUGGCACUAUGAGUCAACCAGAAUUACAGAGCGUUCAGUAAAUUGGAGUAAAAAAAGAACUGAAGGUAUCAUUUUCAAGUCGAUUGUUGUUAGGUGCCAUCAAGUCUGUUCUGACUCAUAGCCAAACUAUGUAUCACAGAACAAAACACUGCCUGGUCCUGUGCCAUUCUUACAAUCGUUACUAUGCUUGAGCCCAUUGUCGCACCCACUGUGUCAGUCUCUCUCUUUGAGGGUCUUCCUUUUUUUCCACUGAUCCUGUACUGUACCAAGCAUGAUGUCCUUCUCCAGGAACUGAUCUUUCCUGACAACAUGUCCAAAGUAUGUAAGACACAGUCUCGCCAUCCUUGCUUCUAAGGAGCAUUCUGGUUGUACUUCUUCCAAGACAGAUUUGUUCCUUCUCUUGGCAGUGCAUUCAAUAUU